rnacentral:rRNA from 1 species
AAACACCGGCUGCGGGCGCAGAAGUUAUCUCACAAUGAAGAGGUGUAUCAACAUUAUGCCAGCAUGAAAGAAUUAUCUGAGAUGAUUGCAUCAGCAUACAAGGUAGCUAGUGCUAAACCCAAUAAUCAUCCGGCAACAACCCAGACGCAGUUCACACAUGGGGUUGCGUCUGCUAUCUGGGACAAGUACCCUGGGAUGGUGUGGCCACAUGUGGAGGGAAGUUCAGCAAGCUCUGCUAUGUGCUACAAUUACCCCGGAAAGCCAUGGGGACAAGUAGGGGAGAGUUCGGCCGGAGCACGAGUUUCUCAGACUAAUGCACGCCCACCUCCAGUUCUGAUACAUGGUACCAAGUCCAUCUGGGACCGUUACGAGGAGAGCCUGUCAUACAAACGCGAGGUGCUACCUAUAAGGAGCAAGGCACUUGAUGGAUAUGGACGCAACAUUUCCGUCAGCCUGGAGAGAGAGAUCAGUCGUACUGAAUCAGCAGGCAAGAUUGUCAUCAAUCUGGAGAGCGAUGAAAUGCAGAAAGACACCACGGACGACGUGCACGCCGCAGUUACUCUGCAGGAAGACACAAUGGACGAGGUGCAUGCCGCAGUUACUCUGCAGAAAGACACCAUGAACGAGGUGUACGCCGCAGUUACUCUGCAGAAAGACACCAUGGACGAGGCGCACGCCGCAGUUACUCCGCAUGAAGUGAACGAGGUGCCUGCUGCAAACAUGGGCGCUGGUUAUCUGGUGGAUCUAGCAGGCAACUACCACCCCGCUGUAGAGAAUGCGCAGUCUAAGCCUUCAGUGACUUGGAUUGGGAAGAGAUGGAGAAAUUCUGGGCGAACCAGAUGGAAGGACAGCAGGAGCAGCAAGGCCUUGACCUAGUGGAUCUGCUCCAGGUAGAUGGCAUUUCACCAGAGGAACUGCUCCAGGAAGACGAAGCCUGGAACCAGGCACUUCAGCCGGCAAACCCGGCGAAUGUCGUCAACAACGCACCCAUGGCUGAAGAACCUGGCGCUGGAGAUGCCCCGGUGUACGAUCCUGCGAACCAGUCCGGUGUCGCCGAAAAUGUGUUCUGGGUCUGGAGCCCCCAGUUUGCGGGCGACUACUACGGCAUGCCGUUCUAGGCCUGCCGGAAGAGGGGCAACUGAAGAGCUGCUUUAUCUCUGUCCUGUGGAGAAAUCCCCGGGAGAUAUAUGGGAGAGCUGCUGAUGCUCGGACAUAUAUCCAGUGCUGUGUGACAUUGGUUAAACCCUUUCGUUAAUAGGUUGUGUUAUGACAUUAUCAGUUUCCAGACUUUUACAUAUUAUCUUCC